rnacentral:rRNA from 1 species
GAGGUCCAGCCUGCCCAGUGACAAAGUUUAACGGCCGCGGUACCCUAACCGUGCAAAGGUAGCAUAAUCACUUGUUCUUUAAAUAGGGACUAGUAUCAACGGCAUCACGAGGGCUGUACUGUCUCCUUUCUCCAAUCAGUGAAACUGAUCUCCCCGUGAAGAAGCAGGGAUUUUAUUAUAAGACGAGAAGACCCCAUGGAGCUUUAAGCAAUGUAUUUACCCCUAUACCCUUACAUCAACUUAACAAGAAAGGACUAAAUACUAGCUUUAGGUUGGGGGGACCGCGGAGUAUAACCUAACCUCCACGACAAACGGGCCACGCCCUUAUCCACGAGCCACAACUCUAAGAAUCAAUAAACUGAUGUUUAAUGACCCGAUAAUUCGAUCAACGAACCAAGUUACCCUGGGGAUAACAGCGCAAUCUACUUCAAGAGCCCCUAUCGACAAGUAGGUUUACGACCUCGAUGUUGGAUCAGGGUAUCCUAGUGGUGCAGCCGCUACUAAUGGUUCGUUUGUUCAACGAUUAAAACCCUACGUGAUCUGAG